GUCUACGGCCAUGCCACCCUGAACGUGCCCGAUCUCGUCUGAUCUCGGAAGCUAAGCAGGGUCAGGCCUGUUAGUACUUGGAUGGGAGACCACCUAGGAAAACCAGGUGCUAUAGGUG
rnacentral:rRNA from 1 species